UUAGUGGCGGACGGGUGAGUAACGCGUGGAUAACCUGCCGUAUACAGGGGGAUAACACUUAGAAAUAGGUGCUAAUACCGCAUAAGCGCACGGUUCCGCAUGGAACAGUGUGAAAAACUCCGGUGGUAUACGAUGGAUCCGCGUCUGAUUAGCCAGUUGGUGGGGUAACGGCCCACCAAAGCGACGAUCAGUAGCCGGCCUGAGAGGGUGAACGGCCACAUUGGGACUGAGACACGGCCCAAACUCCUACGGAAGGCAGCAG
rnacentral:rRNA from 1 species